GAGUUUGAUCAUGGCUCAGGACGAACGCUGGCGGCGUGCCUAAUACAUGCAAGUCGAGCGAGUCCCUUCGGGGCUAGCGGCGGACGGGUGAGUAACACGUAGGCAACCUGCCUCUCAGAUCGGGAUAACAUAGGGGAAACUUAUGCGUAAUACCGGAUAGGUUUUCGGAUCGCAUGAUCCGAAAAGAAAGGCGGCUUCGGCUGUCACUGGGAGAUGGGCCUGCGGCGCAUUA
rnacentral:rRNA from 1 species